GACGGACGCUGGCGGCGUGCUUAACACAUGCAAGUCGAACGGAAAGGCCCUGCUUUUGUGGGGUGCUCGAGUGGCGAACGGGUGAGUAACACGUGAGUAACCUGCCCUUGACUUUGGGAUAACUUCAGGAAACUGGGGCUAAUACCGGAUAGGAGCUCCUGCUGCAUGGUGGGGGUUGGAAAGUUUCGGCGGUUGGGGAUGGACUCGCGGCUUAUCAGCUUGUUGGUGGGGUAGUGGCUUACCAAGGCUUUGACGGGUAGCCGGCCUGAGAGGGUGACCGGCCACAUUGGGACUGAGAUACGGCCCAGAAUCCUACGGGAGGCAGCAGUGGGGAAUAUUGCACAAUGGGCGGAAGCCUGAUGCAGCAACGCCGCGUGCGGGAUGACGGCCUUCGGGUUGUAAACCGCUUUCGCCUGUGACGAAGCGUGAGUGACGGUAAUGGGUAAAGAAGCACCGGCUAACUACGUG
rnacentral:rRNA from 1 species